UACGGGGGGGGUAAGCGUUGUUCGGAAUUAUUGGGCGUAAAGAGCUCGUAGGCGGUCUGUCACGUCGGCUGUGAAAUCCCGAGGCUCAACCUCGGGUCUGCAGUCGAUACGGGCAAACUAGAGUAUUGCAGGGGAGACUGGAAUUCCUGGUGUAGCGGUGAAAUGCGCAGAUAUCAGGAGGAACACCGGUGGCGAAGGCGGGUCUCUGGGCAAUGAACUGACGCUGAGGAGCGAAAGCGUGGGGAGCGAACAGG
rnacentral:rRNA from 1 species